AUGGCUUAUGUUUCUCUCUCUUCAUUAUCCUCUCUUCUACGUCUUCUAUCUUUCUCCACUUCCUCUUCUUCUUCUUCUAUACAACCUCAUAAAAAAAAUUCUUUUACACCUUUCCACACACAUUUUAUAAAAAAUGCUGUCUUUUAAAAUGCAACAUUUCUUCUAUUCGUUUUUUUAACAUUAUUUUGUUUGCAUUUUACUAAUAAUUUUGGUGCUAAUUUUUGCAGAUCUUGACUAUAAUGAGAUGAAACAAAAAACUUUCUGAUCUGAAAUGAGACUGUGUAAAAUUGAAACGGCUUCCAACGGAUCUGAAAUCGAAACCACGGGUCGGGAACAUCGGAUCUGAAAUUGAAAUCACUGGAUCUGAUAUCAAAACCACCAGAUUUGAAAUCAACUCUCAUCUUCUUCAUACUUACAAGGAUUGUGAAAUGGAACAAUGGAAGAAGGGUAUCAAAAUUCAAGAGAUCUAAACUACAAUGAGAUUCAACAAAAAAUUUCAAAUUUGAAAUUAAAGGAAGGACACAUGUUUUAUUUUUAUAUUGAAAACUCUUCCUACUUCACAUGAGAGAAUAGAGCAAAUUUUUUCUACUGGCCAAUGAAAUGGGUAGAUGGAUGGAAUGAGAUGCAGAAUGAAAAUGUUUUGAGCUUGAUGUUCUAACACUAUCCAACUUGUGUUUUGGCAUAUAAUUUCCUCAUUGAUAUAUUCCUUUAAUAUAUUUCAAAAUAUUAAAUUUAUAUUAGCACUUCUACCAUUCCUGUAAAAAAUACUUCAAUAGCAUUUAAUUAUUAUUAUUAGCUUUA